GAUGAACGCUAGCGGGAGGCCUAACACAUGCAAGCCGAGCGGUAUUUGUUCUUCGGAACAGAGAGAGCGGCGCACGGGUGCGGAACACGUGUGCAACCUGCCUUUAUCUGGGGGAUAGCCUUUCGAAAGGAAGAUUAAUACCCCAUAAUAUAUUGAGUGGCAUCAUUUGAUAUUGAAAACUCCGGUGGAUAGAGAUGGGCACGCGCAAGAUUAGAUAGUUGGUGAGGUAACGGCUCACCAAGUCAAUGAUCUUUAGGGGGCCUGAGAGGGUGAUCCCCCACACUGGUACUGAGACACGGACCGGACUACUACGGGAGGCAGCAGUGAGGAAUAUUGUACAAAGGGUCAGCGCCUGAGCCACCCAUCCCACGUGAAGGACGACGGCCUGAGGGGAGGGAAACAUCUUUUGUAUGGGGAUGAACCCACUCUCGUGAGAGUAGCUGAAGGUAGUAUACAAAUAAGCACCGGCUAACUCCGAG
rnacentral:rRNA from 1 species